CAACCCUGAAACUGGGUUUUAGUAUUUCAGAUUGCACAUUAAUUUUGAUCUUUAAAGACAUGUUGUUAUUCAAAGCUCCUGAUACCAGGACAGGGCAGAGGUUAAGACCUCAAAAGAUAGUCUCACUGAAUACCCUAUAUUCCUUUAGAGUACAAAACCCAAAGCCAAAAUCAAACACUGACCAUUUCUUUUCUCCUAUGUGUCUCACUCUGGAGAAUCCAAAGACAGGGGUAAAUAGUUUGUUUAAUCCUCAUUCCCAAUGUUUGAGCUGCCUGAGAAGGCCACCAAGACAAAUGAUUUUUUUUUUUUUCCUGGGGGGGCAUUUGUAUUGGAUCUGGAUGACAACUGUGCCAUGAAUUUCUUAUGGAUUCUGGAACAAGUAAUAGUGAAACCAGCCCAAAGGUGGGAAGCUUCAAAGUAUACCAUAACAUGCUUAGAUGCCUGACACCUCCAUGAUGGACAGAAGGAAUCCCUCAAGAAUUCAAUUCUUCUGGAAUAAUGAAACACGAAUCUUUCUGAACAGCUGGCUCUGUCCAUGGGCAUCUCUGUCAUCUUUUCAAAAUCAGUGCAAAUAUAUGUCAUUCAACCUGGAAG